GUAGGUGGCAAGCGUUGUCCGGAAAUUAUUGGGGCGUAAAAGCGCGCGCAGGCGGGGUCCUUUAAGUCUGAUGUGAAAGCCCACGGGCUCAACCGUGGAGGGUCAUUGGAAACUGGGGGACUUGAGUACAGAAGAGGAAAGCGGAAUUCCAAGUGUAGCGGUGAAAUGCGUAGAGAUUUGGAGGAACACCAGUGGCGAAGGCGGCUUUCUGGUCUGUAACUGACGCUGAGGCGCGAAAGCGUGGGGAGCAAACAGGAUUAGAUACCCUGGUAGUCCACGCCGUAAACGAUGAGUGCUAAGUGUUAGGGGGUUUCCGCCCCCUUAGUGCUGCAGCUAACGCAUUAAGCACUCCGCCUGGGGAGUACGGCCGCAAAGGCUG
rnacentral:rRNA from 1 species